CCUACGGGAGGCAGCAGUGGGGAAUAUUGCACAAUGGGGGAAACCCUGAUGCAGCGACGCCGCGUGAGUGAAGAAGUAUUUCGGUAUGUAAAGCUCUAUCAGCAGGGAAGAAAAUGACGGUACCUGUUUAAGAAGCCCCGGCUAACUACGUGCCAGCAGCCGCGGUAAUACGUAGGGGGCAAGCGUUAUACGGAUUUACUGGGGGUAAAGGGGGCGUAGACGGCAGCACAAGGCUGGAGGGAAAUGCCGGGGCUUAACCCCGGAACUGCUUUUGAAACUGUGCAGCUAGAGUGCAGGAGAGGUAAGUGGAAUGCGUGGUGUAGCGGUGAAAUGCGGAGAUAUUAGGAGGAACACCAGUGGCGAAGGCGGCUUACUGGCCUGUAACUGACGUUGAGGCUCGAAAGCGUGGGGAGCAAACAGGAUUAGAUACCCCUGUAGUC
rnacentral:rRNA from 1 species